rnacentral:rRNA from 1 species
UGCGUAGGUGGUUUGUUAAGUCUGCUGUGAAAUCCCCGGGCUCAACCUGGGAAUGGCAGUGGAUACUGGCAAGCUGGAGUGCGGUAGAGGGUAGUGGAAUUCCCGGUGUAGCAGUGAAAUGCGUAGAGAUCGGGAGGAACACCAGUGGCGAAGGCGGCUACCUGGACCAGCACUGACACUGAGGCACGAAAGCGUGGGGAGCAAACAGGAUUAGAUACCCUGGUAGUCCACGCCCUAAACGAUGCGAACUGGAUGUUGGGUGCAACUUGGCACUCAGUAUCGAAGCUAACGCGUUAAGUUCGCCGCCUGGGGAGUACGGUCGCAAGACUGAA